GUUGCAUUUUAGAGUGCUGUCUUUCAAGUAUCAUUAAUUUCAUAUAUGAUAUAUUAUAUUGUUUCAUACUGAUUUCAACCUUUAACUUGUUUUAAAUGUUUUUAAAUAUACAAAAGAUCACAACAAAAUCGCCUGUUAUUGUAAAUGAACAACAUAUGAUGGAGAUAGUGGGUAAUAUUUUUGAUCGAAUAACCCCGGAACUUAAACUGAAGCUAUAUUCUGAUUGUCU
rnacentral:lncRNA from 1 species